rnacentral:rRNA from 1 species
UACAGAGGGUGCGAGCGUUAAUCGGAAUUACUGGGCGUAAAGCGUGCGUAGACGGCUAUCUAAGUCGGGUGUGAAAGCCCCGGGCUCAACCUGGGAAUUGCAUUCGAGACUGAAUAGCUAGGGUGUGGUAGAGGGAAGCGGAAUUUCCGGUGUAGCGGUGAAAUGCGUAGAUAAUCGGAAGGAACAUCAGUGGCGAAAGCGGCUUCCUGGACCAGCACCGACGUUCAGGCACGAAAGCGUGGGGAGCAAACAGGA